UAUUGAUUACAUCAAACAAAAUUUCUUUAAUGAAAAAGGCAAGUUGCAUUCAUAAAAGAUGGCAUUCACAUUCAUUAUAGAAAGCAAUGAUGUAAAAAAUUGCUGAAGUGAAAAAUGUAAUAUUGCAGUCCAAUUUUGUAAGCUGAAAAAUGAUUUUGUCAACACUUGCAUAAAAUCUGCAUUUAUAUAUACUGCAUGUUAUUAAAAAAUUCUGUCACUAAAUUAUUAUGAAUUUUGCAAAUUUAGGCUUACAUUUUAUACUGUUGCUGGUGUAAAUGUGGUAGAUAUGGAAUUUAUGUUUUCAGUUUAGUACUAACAUCCUCAAACAAUGGACAACAGUUAUGAAAACUAUAAGGACAGUUUGUAGUUCAAAAUUAUUCAAAUGAUGGGUAUAUGAUCCUAUUAUUACAUUUUAUCAGUUUCUCUGGCACAAAAUAAGGUGGUUAGAUUGUAGUGAUAGGAAUACUGGAUGGCUUACUUCUGCUAACCUCACGCCAACCCUUUUUUUUAGCUCAUUAAUAAAAUAUCUAUCUUUAAAAAAGUCAAGUCAGGUCCCUUUCAAGAAUCUAGGCCAUAUCACACAUCACUGUCAUCGUGAAUUUGAGCUGCAGUGUAAUGUGUACCUUAUAAGACAGACUUUACAUCCCCCUUACUUAUCUUUCUUCCAGGUUGCAAGGAAUUUUACAUUUCUGCUACCUUAGAUAUUUUGAUUAUGUCAAACCUUCAAUGGUCUGCAUUAAACAAGGCUCUCUAGUUAAGGUGGGCUCUUUGUAUUCACAGUCUCUAUAAUUCUUAUGUAAAACAACAAUAAUAAUACAGCAAUAAUUAUAAACACAAGAACAACAACAAAACAUCAAAAGCUUUCCUGGCUCUGAUUUUUAGCUCUUUGGAAUAGGUAGAGAAUAUACUGACUUGGUUUCCAGCAGACUACUUCAAAUACUAGGCUACUAAAACACAGCACACUUAGGAAGGCGUGAUGACACCUAACAAAUACUCAAAAAUAAUACUGAUAGAUGGUAACAAAUGAAAUAAUGAAAAAGGGUCAGUAAUGAUGGAAGGGCUUCUGAUAACUGAAAUGUCCUUUCGAGAAUUUAAGAAAAAUUAUACCUAAACAUUAACACAAAAUGUAAGUGGAAGAAUCAAAUAUGUCAUAUGGACUUUAUAAAUACAUUGGUAUAGACUGAAUCUAAUACUUUUCCAAAUCAGGGUACAAUAUAAACACUAAUAAUAGUACAGGCAUGCCAGAAAGACAACCAAAAAUGGAAACUGGAACAAAAAUACCUUUUAAAAGACCAUUUCAAUCUAGGAGUCAAAUGUAGUCAUUUAUAUCCAAAAAAAAGUGUAAGUUUAAUUUUAACAUUUAAUAAAAGACAUAUCACAUUUAUUUUUAUGUUUUAAGUGAGCUCCUUAGGAGGCUAUAACCUCCCCCUAGUCCAGUAAGUGGAGGAUUUAACCAAGGUGAAUCUUGUGGUUUAGAGUUAGACCAUUACCUAGCCGUAUUUGCUAAGAGAGACAAUAUUCAUGUUCAGAGUCA
ensembl:lncRNA